UGCCCUGAUCCUCCCCUUCCCAGCACACAGGCACACGGAAAUGCCGUCACAGAAUCUGUUGGUUCAGUGCCCACAAACGCGCCAGGCACUGUUUUAUUGACAGGAGCCCAUGUAAGCCUCAGAACUACUCUCGAGAUAGACCCUAUUAUUCCCUCCAUUUUAAAGAGGAGCAAACAGAGACACAGAGAGGUGAAGCAUCUUCUUUAAGGUCACACAGCUAGUUAGUGGGGCUGCCAGGAUUUGGACCUGGGUAGAGCUCUACCAAGGUAUCGGUCCUCCCUGACCGUCCUUGAAGCGCCUCAGUCUGCUGUCACCUGGAAAUGAUAACUGUCACAACUCGAUGAGAAGGAGCUGGGAGAUGGAAUCGCUGGGAGGCAGCCGGACCAGAUGGUGGGGAAACUACAGCCAUUGCCUGGCAGGGUGGGAACAGGGGUGCAGACAGGCGGGUUCCCAGGGACGGCUCGCCGGGAGGGUCUCUCGCUCCCCCCUGGAGGGAGCGCCCAGGGAAGGGAAGCCUGUGACUUCAUCCUUGGGCCAAGGCCAAUGACGUCACCGGGAGCCAGGAGCCAGGCCCGGCAGGUUAUUUAUGGAAACGGCUGGAGGCCAGGCAUGGCUCCUGAGCUGUUUCAGAUGUGGCUGGAUAGAGCUUCCAGCUGCCCACGGGGGCCACCAGGGCUGGCGGAGGAGGGAGCACCUGGGCCUGCCGUGGGGCGGGCUGCUUGGGGCUCCAUGGGGGCGCUGGCGGGGUCCCUGGGCACGGGCUUGGAAUCUGCCUCUCAUCCCACCCCUGCUCCGACUGGGCGUCUGGCCAGCAGCCCUCCCUCGGGGUCUGGGACUGGGUGAGCUCAGAGAGGGCGGCAGGAGAUGUCGACGGAGCAACCUCUCCAGCCUGCACUUGGGUCUGCGCCCGUGGGUGUGCGCCUGUGUGCACGGGCCGUGCUCGGGCAGAUACGCCCUCGGGCUCCUGGCCUGUUGGUGUCCCGGGGGGUGGUGUGUGCCAUUGGG
rnacentral:lncRNA from 1 species